CUCUUAAGGUAGCCAAAUGCCUCGUCAUCAAAUUAGUGACGCGCAUGAAUGGAUGAAUGAGAUUCCCACUGUCCCUAUCUACUAUCUAGCGAAACCACAGCCAAGGGAACGGGCUUGGAAGAUUCAGCGGGGAAAGAAGACCCUAUUGAGCUUGACUCUAGUCUGAUGUUGUGAAAUGUCUCGCGAGGUGUAGAAUAAGUGGGAGGCUUUGCCAACGAUGAAAUACCACUACUCGUGACGACGUUUUACUUAUUCCGUGAAGCAAAGUUUCAUUAUGUAAAAGUAAUGAAUUCUAGCAUUAUAAGCUUAGGGUUUACCUUGAGUGAUUUGCUCGGAAGACAGCUUCAGGUGGGGAGUUUGACUGGGGCGGUAUAUCUUUGAGACAAUAACAA
rnacentral:rRNA from 1 species